GAGUUUGAUCGUGGCUCAGGGUUAACGCUGGCGGUGCGCAUAACACAUGCAAGUCGAGCGAGGGCUUAUUUCUCGCAAGAGAGAUGAGUUCCUAGCGGCGAACGGGUGAGUAACACGUGGGCAACCUUUCCUAUCGCGGGGGGAUAACAGCGGGAAACCGCUGCUAAUACCGCAUGUCGUCACUGAUCGCAUGGUUGGUGAAGAAAGCAGCAAUGCACGAUGGGGUGGGCCCGCGGCCUAUCAGCUAGUCGGUGGGGUAACGGCCUACCGAGGCGAUGACGGGUAGCUGGUCCUGAGAGGACGGCCAGCCACACGGGGACUGAGACACGGCCCCGACUCCUACGGGAGGCAGCAGUGAGGAAUCUUCCGCAAUGGGCGAAAGCCUGACGGAGCGACACCGCGUGUGGGAUGAAGUCUUUCGGGAUGUAAACCACUGUCGGAGGGG
rnacentral:rRNA from 1 species